GGCCUUUUGAAAAUAAUUUAAGGUCUAACCUGCCCAAUGAAGAUUAAAAGGCCGCGGUAUUUUGACCGUGCAAAGGUAGCAUAAUCAUUAGUUUUUUAAUUGAAAGCUGGAAUGAAUGGUUGAAUGAGAAAAUAACUGUCUCUAAAUUAUUUAAAAUGAAUUUUAUUUUUAAGUUAAAAAGCUUAAAUAACUUUAAAAGACGAGAAGACCCUAUAGAGUUUUAUAUACAAAUUUGUUUAGGAUUUUAGAAUUUUAUAACUAAUUAAAAUCUAUAUUUUAUUGGGGUGAUAGAAAAAUUUGAGAAACUUUUUAUUUAAAAUUUCAUUGAUUUAUGAAAAAUUGAUCCAUUAUUUAUGAUUAUAAGAUUAAAUUACCUUAGGGAUAACAGCGUAAUUUUUUUAGAGAGUUCAAAUCGAUAAAAAAGAUUGCGACCUCGAUGUUGGAUUAAAAAAUAAUUUUGGUGUAGAAGCUGAAAAAUUGGGUCUGUUCGACCUUUAAAAUUUUACAUGA
rnacentral:rRNA from 1 species